rnacentral:rRNA from 1 species
GACGAACGCUGGCGGCGUGCUUAACACAUGCAAGUCGAACGGACAGGCCUGCAGCUUGCUGCGGGUACUCGAGUGGCGAACGGGUGAGUAACACGUGGGUGAUCUGCCUUGCACUUCGGGAUAAGCUUGGGAAACUGGGUCUAAUACCGGAUAGGACAGCUGUUUAGUGUCAGUUGUGGAAAGUUUUUUCGGUGCAAGAUGAGCUCGCGGCCUAUCAGCUUGUUGGUGGGGUAAUGGCCUACCAAGGCGUCGACGGGUAGCCGGCCUGAGAGGGUGUACGGCCACAUUGGGACUGAGAUACGGCCCAGACUCCUACGGGAGGCAGCAGUGGGGAAUAUUGCACAAUGGGCGGAAGCCUGAUGCAGCGACGCCGCGUGGGGGAUGAAGGCCUUCGGGUUGUAAACUCCUUUCGACAGGGACGAAGCGUAAGUGACGGUACCUGUAUAAGAAGCACCGGCUAACUACGUGCCAGCAGCCGCGGUAAUACGUAGGGUGCGAGCGUUGUCCGGAAUUACUGGGCGUAAAGAGCUCGUAGGUGGUUUGUCGCGUCGUCUGUGAAAUUCCGGGGCUUAACUCCGGGCGUGCAGGCGAUACGGGCUGACUUGAGUGCUGUAGGGGAGACUGGAAUUCCUGGUGUAGCGGUGAAAUGCGCAGAUAUCAGGAGGAACACCGAUGGCGAAGGCAGGUCUCUGGGCAGUAACUGACGCUGAGGAGCGAAAGCAUGGGUAGCGAACAGG